rnacentral:rRNA from 1 species
GAUGAACGCUAGCUACAGGCUUAACACAUGCAAGUCGAGGGAAACGACAUCGAAAGCUUGCUUUUGAUGGGCGUCGACCGGCGCACGGGUGAGUAACGCGUAUCCAACCUGCCCACCACUUGGGGAUAACCUUGCGAAAGUAAGACUAAUACCCGAUGAUAUCCCUAGAAGACAUCUGAAAGGGAUUAAAGAUUUAUCGGUGAUGGAUGGGGAUGCGUCUGAUUAGCUUGUUGGCGGGGUAACGGCCCACCAAGGCGACGAUCAGUAGGGGGUUCUGAGAGGAAGGUCCCCCACAUUGGAACUGAGACACGGUCCAAACUCCUACGGGAGGCAGCAGUGAGGAAUAUUGGUCAAUGGGCGAGAGCCUGAACCAGCCAAGUAGCGUGCAGGAUGACGGCCCUAUGGGUUGUAAACUGCUUUUAUAAGGGAAUAAAGUGAGUCUCGUGAGACUUUUUGCAUGUACCUUAUGAAUAAGGACCGGCUAAUUCCGUG